UUGUCGUCAGCUCGUGUCGUGAGAUGUUGGGUUAAGUCCCGCAACGAGCGCAACCCUUAUUGCUAGUUACCAUCAUUGAGUUGGGGACUCUAGCGAGACUGCCAGCGAUAAGCUGGAGGAAGGUGGGGAUGACGUCAAAUCAUCAUGCCCUUAUGACCUGGGCUACAAACGUGAUACAAUGGCUGGAACAAAGGGAGGCGAAGGGGUGACCUGGAGCGAAACCAAAAAUACAGUCUCAGUUCGGAUUGAAGUCUGCAACUCGACUUCAUGAAGUCGGAAUCGCUAGUAAUCGCGGAUCAGAACGCCGCGGUGAAUACGUUCUCGGGGUUU
rnacentral:rRNA from 1 species